UACAGAGGGGGCGAGCGUUAUUCGGAAUUACUGGGCGUAAAGGGCGCGUAGGCGGUCUUGCAAGUCCUGUGUGAAAUCCCUCGGCUCAACUGAGGAACUGCACAGGAAACUGCUUGGCUUGAGUUCGGGAGAGGGAAGCGGAAUUCCGGGUGUAGCGGUGAAAUGCGUAGAUAUCGAGAGGAACACCAGUGGCGAAGGCGAGUCCCUGGACAACACCUGACACUGAGGCACGAAAGCUAGGGGAGCAAACAGG
rnacentral:rRNA from 1 species